rnacentral:rRNA from 1 species
AACGCUGGCGGCGUGCUUCAUACAUGCAAGUCGAACGAUAAGGUCUCUUCGGAGAUACAUAAGUGGCGGACGGGUGAGUAAAAUGUAGAGAAUCUGCCCUAGAGUGGGGGACAACAGAGGGAAACUUCUGCUAAUACCCCAUAUGCGCGUAGCUGAGAUGCUAUUCGUGAAAACUCCGGUGCUCUGGGAUGAGUCUGCAUCUGAUUAGCUAGUAGGCGGUGUAAUGGACCACCUAGGCGACGAUCAGUAGCUGGUUUGAGAGGAUGAUCAGCCACAAUGGGACUGAGACACGGCCCAUACUCCUACGGGAGGCAGCAGUAGGGAAUUUUGCGCAAUGGGGGAAACCCUGACGCCAGCAACGCCGCGUGACCGAUGAAGCCCUUCGGGGUGUAAAGGUCUGUCAGUGGGGACGAAACUUGACGGUACCCACAGAGGAAGCAUCGGCUAACUCCGUGCCAGCAGCCGC